GGCUUUUUGAGCCUGGGAGAUGUGAGGCAGAGGUGUUGUGAUGGCAGCAGCUGAAGCUCACUAAAAUGCAGUCAGAUGCAGAUGCAUGUUCCUACCCUGAGCCGGCUGCGUGCCAGCCCAUAACCUGUAGCUCAAGCUCAGUGCCAUGUGGAUCUCCAUCCUGCCUUUGGGUAGUAGAUGCUCUGAGCGUGAAUCCAUUCAGGCCAUCCCAGUACUAGGUGUGAAAGGUGCCCGAGGUCACUUGGAGACAAGAAGACAUAAGGAAUACAUCUCUCUAGGUUUAUUAAAGCUGUUGUCAUCUCCUGUGGGUCCAGGACUAGCAUCUAUCAAUCACAGACGUGGCUUGGCCUUUGGACCUCAGGGCUUUAUUUUAUUUGCUACUGCUGCAGAAAGGCACAUCCAUAGGCAAAACUUCCUGGGAACCAUUGGCCCCAUUCUCCUGCUCCAUGGUGGGAACAGGACAAACCCUUUCAGGGGGUGACAAAGUGCAGAGG